rnacentral:rRNA from 1 species
AUUGAACGCUGGCGGCAGGCUUAACACAUGCAAGUCGAGCGAGCGGAGGACGGGUGAGUAAGGGCUGGGAAACUGCCUGAUGGAGGGGGAUAACUACGGGAAACGGUAGCUAAUACCGCAUACCAUCAGAUGUGCUCAGAUGGGAUUAGCUAGUAGGUGGGGUAAUGGCUCACCGAGGCGACGAUCCCUAGCUAGUCUGAGAGGAUGACCGGCCACACUGGAACUGAGACACGGUCCAGACUCCUACGGGAGGCAGCAGUGGGGAAUAUUGAACAAUGGGCGCAAGUCUGAUGCAGCCAUGCCGCGUGUGUGAAGAAGGCCUUCGGGUUGUAAAGCACUUUCAGCGAGGAGGCGUUACUCGCAGAAGAAGCAACGGCUAACUCCGUGCCAGCAGCCGCGGUAAUUC